AACGAUGAAGGCUUUCGAGUCGUAAAGUUCUGUUCUUGGGGAAGAUAACGACGGUACCCAAGGAGAAAGCACCGGCUAAAUACGUGCCAGCAGCCGCGGUAAUACGUAUGGUGCAAGCGUUGUCCAGAAUUACUGGGCGUAAAGAGUUCGUAGGCGGUUAGAUUAGUCAGAAGUGAAAGGCUACGGCUCAACCGUAGUAAGCUUUUGAAACUGUCUAACUUGAGUACUGGAGAGGAAAGCGGAAUUCCUAGUGUAGCGGUGAAAUGCGUAGAUAUUAGGAAGAACACCAGUGGCGAAGGCGGCUUUCUGGACAGUAACUGACGCUGAGGAACGAAAGCGUGGGGAGCGAACAGGAUUAGAUACCCUGGUAGUCCACGCCGUAAACGAUGAGAACUAGGUGUUGGGGGUCGAACCUCAGUGCCGCAGCUAACGCAGUAAGUUCUCCGCCUGGGGAGUACGAUCGCAAGAUUGAAACUCAAAGGAAUUGACGGA
rnacentral:rRNA from 1 species